GACGAACGCUGGCGGCGUGCCUAACACAUGCAAGUCGAACGGAGAUUCUAGCAAUAGAAUCUUAGUGGCGAACGGGUGAGUAACACGUAGACAACCUGCCUCCUAGAUGGGGACAACACUGCGAAAGUGGUGCUAAUACCGAAUGUUGUAUCUUGAUUGCAUAACCGAGAUACUAAAGAUGGCCUCUUUGCUGCCGCUGAAGGAUGAGCUUGCGGCCUAUCAGCUAGUUGGUGAGGUAAUGGCUCACCAAGGCGAUGACGGGUAGCCGGCCUGAGAGGGUGAUCGGCCAGACUGGAACUUAGACACGGUCCAGACUCCUACGGGAGGCAGCAGUGGGGAAUCUUGCGCAAUGGGCGAAAGCCUGACGCAGCGACGCCGCGUGAAGGAUGAAGGCCUUCGGGUUGUAAACUUCUGUUAAGUGGGAAGAAAUACUCAUACAUAAUACGUAUGAGGGAUGACGGUACCAUUAGAGAAAGUACCGGCUAAUCU
rnacentral:rRNA from 1 species